AUUGAACGCUGGCGGCAGGCCUAACACAUGCAAGUCGAACGAGUGGCGGACGGGUGAGUAAUGUAUGGGAAACUGCCCGAUGGAGGGGGAUAACUACUGGAAACGGUAGCUAAUACCGCAUACCAUCGGAUGUGCCCAGAUGGGAUUAGCUAGUAGGUGGGGUACCGGCUCACCUAGGCGACGAUCCCUAGCUGGCCUGAGAGGAUGACCGGCCACACUGGAACUGAGACACGGUCCAGACUCCUACGGGAGGCAGCAGUGGGGAAUAUUGCACAAUGGGCGCAAGCCUGAUGCAGCCAUGCCGCGUGUAGGAAGAAGGUCUUCGGAUUGUAAAGUACUUUCAGCGAGGAGGCGUUACUCACAGAAGAAGCAACGGCUAACUCCGUGCCAGCAGCCGCGGUAAUAC
rnacentral:rRNA from 1 species